rnacentral:rRNA from 1 species
GAUGAACGCUGGCGGCGUGCCUAAUACAUGCAAGUCGAGCGAACAGACGAGGAGCUUGCUCCUCUGACGUUAGCGGCGGACGGGUGAGUAACACGUGGAUAACCUACCUAUAAGACUGGGAUAACUUCGGGAAACCGGAGCUAAUACCGGAUAAUAUAUUGAACCGCAUGGUUCAAUAGUGAAAGACGGUUUUGCUGUCACUUAUAGAUGGAUCCGCGCCGCAUUAGCUAGUUGGUAAGGUAACGGCUUACCAAGGCAACGAUGCUUAGCCGACCUGAGAGGUGGAUCGGCCACACUGGAACUGGGACACGGUCCAGACUCCUAAGGGAGGCAGCAGUAGGGAAUCUGCCGCAAUGGGCGAAAGCCUGACGUAUCAACGCCGCGUGAGUGAUGAAGGUCUUCGGAUCGUAAAACUCUGUUAUUAGGGAAGAACAAAUGUGUAAGUAACUAUGCACGUCUUGACGGUACCUAAUCAGAAAGCCACGGCUAACUACGUG